GCGUAUCUAAUGAUAUAUUUUCAACGUAUAUAAAGAUCCUGAAACCUUUAACGACAGCAUUCUGCCGAGCUGCAAAGUGGGAAACAAAAAUGAAAACUGUUUGUGUUCUGUUCUUGCUUGCGCUUGUUAUAAUGUGCUCGUUAUCCAUUUGCGAAGGACGUGAUGAUAAAGAUGAUGGUGUUUUAAAUGCACUGAAAAUAGGCUUAGUGGCAUACCGAUGCUUCGACAGCAAACAGUGUGUGAUCGUCUGUCAACAAACCACUACGAACGUGAUCCGAGCCCUCUGCUACUACGGUACCUGCUACUGCCAACCUGGACGUUCUGGAUGGUAAUUAGACUGUAUAAAACAAGAAGUAAACGGAUAGCAGAUUUU